rnacentral:rRNA from 1 species
GAGCGGCAGACGGGUGAGUAAUACGUUGGAACCUGCCCCAAAGUCAGGGAUAACCAGUAGAAAUAUUGGCUAAUACCGGAUAGUCACGAAAGUGUAAAGCUUUUGCGCUUUGGGAGGGGCCUGCGGUCUAUCAGCUUGUUGGUAAGGUAAUGGCUUACCAAGGCUAUGACGGAUAGCUGGUUUGAGAGAAUGAUCAGCCACAAUGGAACUGAGACACGGUCCAUACUCCUACGGGAGGCAGCAGUGAGGAAUCUUCCGCAAUGGGCGAAAGCCUGACGGAGCAACACCGCGUGAAGGAUGAAGGUCGUAAGAUUGUAAACUUCUUUUCUGAGGGAAGAAUUCUGACGGUACCUCAGGAAUAAGCAUCGGCUAACUACGUGCCAGCAGCCGCGGUAAGACGUAGGAUGCAAGCGUUAUCCGGAAUUAUUGGGCAUAAAGAGUUCGUAGGCGGUUUGUUAAGUUGGAUGUUAAAUUUUUGAGCUCAACUUAAAAAAAGUAUCCAAAACUGGCAAACUGGAGACUGGUAGAGGUAAGUGGAAUUCUGCAUGUAGGGGUAAUAUCCGUAGAUAUGCAGAGGAACACCAAAAGCGAAGGCAGCUUACUGGACCAGUUCUGACGCUCAAGAACGAAAGCGUGGGUAGCGGACGGGAUUAGAUACCCCGGUAGUCCACGCCCUAAACGAUGAACACUAGGUAUUGGAGGUCUCGACCCCUUCAGUGCCGACGCAAAUGCAAUAAGUGUUCCGCCUGGGUAGUACGAGCGCAAGCUUAAAACUCAAAGGAAUAGACGGGGACCCACACAAGCGGUGGAGCAUCUGGUUUAAUUCGACAAUAAGCGAGGAACCUUACCAAGGCUUGACAUCCCGAGAAGAUCGCCGAAAGGUGAUUGUGCCGUUAGGAACUCGGUGACAGGUGCUGCAUGGUUGUCGUCAGCUCG